rnacentral:rRNA from 1 species
UUAGGUUGAAAACUGAGGGGAUGAGCUGUGGGUAGGGGUGAAAGGCCAAUCAAACUCCGUGAUAGCUGGUUCUCCCCGAAAUGCAUUUAGGUGCAGCGUCACGUGUUUCUUACCGGAGGUAGAGCUACUGGAUAGCUGAUGGGCCUCACCAGGUUACUGACGUUAGCCAAACUCCGAAUGCCGGUAAGUGAGAGCGUGGCAGUGAGACUGCGGGGGAUAAGCUCCGUAGUCGAGAGGGAAACAGCCCAGACCACCAUCUAAGGUCCCUAAGCGUGUGCUAAGUGGGAAAGGAUGUGGAGUUGCAUUGACAACCAGGAGGUUGGCUUAGAAGCAGCCACCCUUUAAAGAGUGCGUAAUAGCUCACUGGUCAAGUGAUUCCGCGCCGACAAUGUAGCGGGGCUCAAGCACACCACCGAAGCUGUGGCAUUGACACACUGCUCGGCCAGUUUUCCUGCGGGGUUCUGGUCCAGGCGUGUUGAUGGGUAGGGGAGCGUCGUGUGGCCAGGGAAGCGGCGGAGUGAUCCAGCCGUGGAGGCCACACGAGUGAGAAUGCAGGCAUGAGUAGCGAAUGACGGGCGAGAAACCCGUCCGCCGAAUAACCAAGGGUUCCAGGGUCAAGCUAAUCUGCCCUGGGUAAGUCGGGACCUAAGGCGAGGCCGACAGGCGUAGUCGAUGGACAUCCGGUUGAUAUUCCGGAACCGGCGAAGAACCGCCCAUGACGAACCUAGUGAUGCUAAACGCCCAAAGCUGUUGUCCAAGACCUUCGGGUUGAGGGUUUCAGUGGAGCGCGUGACCCGAUCUAGUAGUAGUCAAGCGAUGGAGAGACGCAGGAAGGUAGCCUCCGCGUGGCGAUGGUAGUCCACGUCCAAGGGUGUAGGGCGAGCUGUAGGCAAAUCCGCAGCUCACAUAGCCUGAGACCUGAUAGUGACCGCGUAUGCGGGAAGCAGGGUGAUCCUAUGCUGCCAAGAAAAUCUUCUAGCGAGGUUCGAGCCGCCCGUACCCCAAACCGACUCAGGUGGUUAGGUAGAGAAUACCAAGGCGAUCGAGUGAAUCGUGGUUAAGGAAUUCGGCAAAAUACCCCCGUAACUUCGGGAGAAGGGGGGCCCAGAGGGUGAAGGCACUUGCUGCCUAGCCUGAACGGCCGCAGAGACCAGGGAGAAGCGACUGUUUACUAAAAACACAGGUCCGUGCGAAGUCGCAAGACGAUGUAUACGGACUGACGCCUGCCCGGUGCUGGAAGGUUAAGAGGACCGGUUAGUUCUUCGGAGCGAAGCUGAGAAUUUAAG